ensembl:snRNA U6 U6 spliceosomal RNA
GUGCUUACUUAAGUAACAUAUAUACCAAAACUGGAAUGAUACCGGGAAGAUAAGCAUGGCCCCUGAGGGAGGAUGGCAUGCAAAUGCAUGAAAUAGUUCAUAAAAAAUAUUU